rnacentral:rRNA from 1 species
CAGCCGCCACGGUAAUACGAAGGGUGCAAGCGUUAAUCGGAAUUACUGGGCGUAAAGCGUGCGUAGGCGGUGAGUUAAGUCUGCUGUGAAAUCCCCGGGCUCAACCUGGGAAUGGCAGUGGAUACUGGCUCGCUAGAGUGUGUCAGAGGAUGGUGGAAUUCCAGGUGUAGCGGUGAAAUGCGUAGAGAUCGGGAGGAACAUCAGUGGCGAAGGCGGCCAUCUGGGACAACACCGACGCUGAGGCACGAAAGCGUGGGGAGCAAACAGGAUUAGAUACCCCCGUAGUCCCUGUCUCUUAUAC